rnacentral:rRNA from 1 species
ACUGAUUUCAACAAUGAAGCGAGUGGCGAACUGGUGAGUAACACGUGGGGAAUCUGCCCAGAAGCAGGGGAUAACACUUGGAAACAGGUGCUAAUACCGUAUAACAGAGAAAACCGCAUGGUUUUCUUUUAAAAGAUGGCUCUGCUAUCACUUCUGGAUGGACCCGCGGCGUAUUAGCUAGUUGGUGAGGUAGAGGCCCACCAAGACGAUGAUACGUAGCCGACCUGAGAGGGUAAUCGGCCACAUUGGGACUGAGACACGGCCCAAACUCC